CUACUGUACAUAACAACCUUAUGCUGGGGGGGGUAUGGAUAUUGCUAACAGUAGAAUCCGGCCAAUGUUGAUUUUUAUUUUUUAAUCACAGAACAUCUCUCCAUUUUUUUUUGGCUUAACAUAUGUUGGUAUUAGAUACUUUUAAAUAGAGAGUAUUGCCAUAAAAUCUUAAAAUUACCCAAACCAAAAAACUUGUUUAUAUAACCAGUCUAGUCCAAAACACUCAUUCUAAAUAUAAGUAAAUAUGGGGCCAGAGAAAUUAGAUGGUCAAAAAAAUUCAUCCACUAGGUUAGUACUGGUACUAGAAACAGUAUCUCUUAGUUUAUAUUCUAAAACUUUUUCCCAAAGCCUCUUUCCCAUCUUUCAGCAAAGCACUACACACACAUAAUUGAAAGAUAAGUUAGUACAAACAGACUUCUAGCAAGUAAAUAGCCAUUCUCCAUCCCUCAGACUUCUACAUUCAACUGUCUUGUGGCUUCCUUCCAUUACUGUCAUGGAAAUAUACAAUUCCUUUUUAUUUCUAUUUCUUUGUAUGUGACUUAUCCCUCCACAGUCUCCUGUUCUUAGGACUUUUCUCUUCGUUACUAGAAUUUGAAAUUUCAUGUGUGUGCAGAGGGGGUAUGUCAGGCGGUUACCCUUUGUUGGGUACAACACACCAUUUCAGUGAAGGGAAUCUCUGUUAUUCUUUUUCUGUAAGAUGUCUCUCCCCUCUAUUUAUCUCUGCUAUUUUCCAGAUCCUUUUGACACUUCAAGGUAGGGCACCUGAACUAAUUGCGAAAUUUUAUCUUUUCUAUCUUCUUUUCCAUCCUAAUGACCUCUUCUUUCCAAAGCUUAGAGAUUUUUUUUUUUAACUUUAUCUUCUAUUUCUUGAUUUUAAAAAACCAUUUAUUUCAUUUUAAUUACCAAGAGUUUCUUUCUUAUAACCUAGUGUUAUCAUUGGCUGAUUUCUCUGUGAAUACUAAUUAUAGAAGUUACAACAAACAGGAAAAUAUUUAGCUCCAUUUAUGUACUUCAAUAACAUAUUUGAAUUUUCAAUAUAAGAUUUUUUUAUCUAAAAGUUUUUAAAAUCAUCUUUUGUGGGAUUUACUGUUGGGCAAAUUAGGGUUUCUGUUCUAUUGUGGCUAGUACAUUUUUCCUAGUGUACAGAAAUGCUAUUGAUUUUGAUACAGGAGUGCUGGGAAGGGACGAGCAUGGUCCCUUUAAAUGAUACCGAACGGGGGACAGGGAAGUGCUGGGUAGAGCAAGGCCGGUUCCUGGCUAGGGCUUCACCCUCUGGCUUGUGCCCACGAACCUAGGUGAGGACAGGCACUCCUGCCUUUGGGCCCAAAUGUUGCAUUUUCCAAAACCACCCUGGCCCACCACACCCCCAUCCUGGGCGGAUAAAAACUGAGACCCUAGCAGGCAGAUAGAUACACAAGCGUCUGGACGUCCAGAGGAGGGGAUCAGCGGAAGAAGACACAAGCAGCCGGACAUCGAGAGGAUGUCGAGGGGAGCAUGCCAGUGGAAGAGCACAUGACAGACACUGGCAGGACAGCAGGCCAUUGACUGGAGGAACGAUGUGGAGUUUAGCGAGAUCAGGAGGAGGAGAGCACGGGCCGCUAAGCAGAGGGACCCCUGGUGCAUCUCCCAUCUGGCUCCCCCAUCUGCUGAGAACUACUUCUACUCAGUAAAACCUCGGACUCAUUCUCCAAGCCCUCGCGUGAUCUGGUUCUUCCGGUACACCACGGCAGGAAACCCUGGGAUACAGAAAUCCCUCCGUCCUUGUGGAUUUUAGAAUGCCAAGCUGACAUUUUGAGUUUUUAUGAGAAACCAGAAAAUUUGGUGUGAAGACCCUAAGUGGUGUGUCUGACUUACAGCAGGCCCACAGUACCUGUUAUUGAGUGAGAUAAGCAAAUGGUAUUUCAGGACCAAAACAUCUGUUUCCUGAAGAGUUGCUCCUUUAAUUGUGUAUCUACCUACCUGUCUAUGUAACUCUUGGCAAAUACAUUGGAGACUUCUCAACUUUCUGCUUCUGAUGAUCUCAACUUGUGGUAUGGCAAAAGGAGAGCAAAAUGUUCACCCAGGUAUGGGAAUUUCUCACAAAAAUGUUACUUUAUUAUAUUUAGGGGAAAAAGGGGGCAAAAUCUACACUCAUAAUACCUGAGACUGGAUUUCUAGAACCUUUUGGUUUCAGAUUUAUGAUGAAUUAGAAAACUUCCUGAUUAGAAAAAUGUUAUAGUUUCAAAUAUUAGCUAAAAUUUUUAUCUGUAAGUACAAUAAACAUGACAAAUAAUGAUCAGUGUUUUCACUCCUAUUAAGGAGAGUAUUUUUAGUAAUAAAAAUAAGCCUUAAUGUGAAAAAGCUAAGAAUUCAUGAUUGCUUCUAAUGACAAGUAUCUGGGAGGGGUCUGAGUUUGGUUCAAGAGAGGAACUACAGCUGUUGGUGACUACAACCAUCUGCCCAGAUGACAUCGUGAUCAACUCCUCUGAAUCACUCUAAAGGAACGAGAAGUCCUGGCAGCUGAGUCAUGAUCCCCCAGGAGCCAUUAAGAAGUUAAUCUUCAGUCACUUCCAUCCAAACAGAAGAAAACCCAUGAAGGAUGAGAACUAUGGGUCCUGAGAAUGACAGGUAAU
rnacentral:lncRNA from 1 species